rnacentral:lncRNA from 1 species
UUACAAGUUGGCUGCUGUCGCCUGCGCAUCGGCGGGCCGGGAGGCUGAGCAGUACUGUUGAGAGCGGUGUGAGGUGCUUGGUAGCGCGCCGUAGCUGCUUCCACGUCCUUGCUUCACCUCAGGUAAAGAGAGAAGUAAUGGAAGGCCUGUCUGAUGUUGCUUCUUUUGCAACUAAACUUAAAAACACUCUCAUCCAGUACCAUAGCAUUGAAGAAGAUAAGUGGCGAGUUGCUAAGAAAACGAAAGAUGUAACUGUUUGGAGAAAACCCUCAGAAGAAUUUAAUGGAUAUCUAGUCUUAAAGGGAUAUGUGAUCAAAAGAGCUACAAAGCCCAAGGUGUUAUAGAUGACCUUGUCUAUAGUAUAAUAGACCAUAUACGCCCAGGGCCUUGUCGUUUGGAUUGGGACAGCUUGAUGACUUCUUUGGAUAUUCUGGAGAACUUUGAAGAGAAUUGCUGUGUGAUGCGUUACACUACUGCUGGUCAGCUUUGGAAUAUAAUUUCCCCAAGAGAAUUUGUUGAUUUCUCCUAUACUGUGGGCUAUAAAGAAGGGCUUUUAUCUUGUGGUAAUAAUCUCAAC